CCUACGGGUGGCAGCAGUGGGGAAUAUUGGGCAAUGGGCGCAAGCCUGACCCAGCAACGCCGCGUGAAGGAAGAAGGCUUUCGGGUUGUAAACUUCUUUUCUCAGGGACGAAGAAAGUGACGGUACCUGCGGAUGAAGCCACGGCUAACUACGUGCCAGCAGCCGCGGUAAUACGUAGUUGGCGAGCGUUAUCCGGAUUUACGUGGUGUAAAGGGCGUGUAGGGGGGAAAGCAAGUCAGAUGUGAAAACCUUGGGCUCAACCUGUGGCCUGCAUUUGAAACUGUUUUUCUUGAGUACUGGAGAGGCAGCCGGAAUUCCUGGUGUAGCGGUGAAAUGCGUAGAUAUUAGGAGGAACUCCAGUGGCGAAGGCGGUCUGCUGGACAGCAACUGACGCUGAGGCGCGAAAGCGUGGGGAGUAAACAGGAUUAGAUACCCCUGUAGUC
rnacentral:rRNA from 1 species